CACCUUUGCCUAUACCUAUGCUUCUAUUCCCUCUACUAGUUGAUCGAUGAGUCCACUAGCAUCUGGAGUAGUAUAUGUAACUGAAAGGUAUGCCACUGACCAGCUACUCGCCAUAGAGGCUAUGAACCAACCAACGAGCUAUAGCUUCAUUGGAAUUGAUUUUGAUUGAAGUAGUCAGCCUAUGGGAUGCAUCUAAAUGCGGCAUAUGGAACC
rnacentral:lncRNA from 1 species